GUGUGUGUGUGUGCAUGCGUGCGUCUUGCGCGCGCAUACAUGCCGGUUUGUAUGGGCCGGCGUGCUUGCGUGUGUCUAGUGCGUACGUGUUUUGUGAGCGUGUUUCUGUGUGGGUCACUGUGUGUGCGUGCACGUGUUAGCGUGUCUGCCUGCAUGUAUGUGUGAUUGUUUGUGUUUAUCAAUGUGCGCGUGCGUGCCUUUGUGUCUGCGCUUUGAGAGUGUGUAUAUUUGUGUGCGCGCGAGUGCGUUUUGUGUGCGUGCGUAUGUAUUGCAUAAGGCCGGUAGAGUUUUACUCGCUAUAAUGCUCUUCCAAUUUGGUGCAGCGAGUGUUGCGGCCUGAAAGCCGAGUUUGGUUUCAAGCCAACCUGGACAACUGCUGUAUGAGGCGCUGUUUCUCAGGAGGAUCAGUGGGAAGGCGUCAGGUCAUGCAGAUGAUAGCAUCAAUUUCACAAUGCCCAGCCUUGGUGCCCUCCAUUAAGAGCAAGCCGCUUGCGUUCGCCUUCAGGCAGGUGGUUGAUGUCUUCUAGGAAGCAGUUGGGAAGACUACAUUGAUGCAGGAUUCCAGCAAUGCCAUGCGCUGCAUUUAUUGGUCAAGAUGCUCAGAGAAUGGAGUCCCUGCACCUCGUGGUGAAACGUGAACAUUUUCUUUCUUUUGGAAAGCUAAACGUCAUUUGCUGUAUCAAUUGCAUUCUUGCAGCUCAGAUGUGUACUAUAUUUUUUCUAAUUUUGAAUCAGUUAAUAUUCACUGUUCAGUAUAAAAAUGACGUACAGUGUGAAGGACAAGGACUGCGAGAGAUGACAUACAGUGCGCUGACUUCCAACAAUAUUUUAUUGCGUUGCCACAUCGUGUGUUUAUACACAAGAAGGGCCAUGCGCAGAAAAUGAAAGGCAGUCACAAGGGGUGUUCUAACAGCAAGUCAUUGUACUAAGAACAUGGUCACUAAAAAAAAAAUCACAAUUUCUAUCUGUGGAGAUACAAGACUUCACUAGGGGUCAGCGUGAUAGACGGGGCACUAACGCACACACUACCCAUUUUUCUGGUGAAAUAAGCAUCAAUAAUGUACCGGGUGAGCUGUGUUUCGCUAGAACUUGCGUAUCUUCAAAGAGGGGCAUGCAGCGGCAGUCCCGGCAAUGAAUGCCCAAGUGGCCUUGAACAGUGUUAUGGACGUUAUGGUGCACUUUUAAACGAUCAUUUAGGCACCUGCCUGUCCGUCCAACAUAUUUACUGCCUCAAAACAGGAAUAUGGUAAACCACAUUCGUUACACAUAUCGCAAAACGUUUUCUGUGCCCGACAGAGCAAGAACUCUGACACGAUUUAGGCGCGUUUACACGCUUACAGAGCUUUGCCAGCUUUUCCGGGGCUGAGAAAAAGACUGGGAUUCCUGGAGGUUGCCAAAUCUUUCUUUAGCCUAUCGGAGACAUCAUGCACAUACGGUAGCACUGCGAACCAGUCUUUCAACCGGCUGGUUCCUUGACUGAGUGCGCUCAUCACGUUUUGUGCCCUUCAGAAGCUGUUCCGCUAUGGCUGAAAUUAAGGCCAAAGGGUAGCCAACCCAAGAAAGGCGAUCAACCUGUGCAGCAAGACUAUCUUGCAUUUCAUGUGAGCAAGAUUUAUUGAGGCUGUUAACGAGGCAAAUCUUUACAAUACCUCGUUUAACAAGCUUUGAAUGUGCAGAGUUAAAGGGCAAGAGUUACUUCUUACUUCUCGGUUCAAAGCACUAGCCCACCUGUUUAUUUGUAAGGCACUGCCUGAGAUCAAGAAAGCGCAAAGAAUCAUCAGUGGGGACCUCAUUUGUUAGUUCUAGAGGCUGCAGCUCUUAAAGAUCUCCAAGUCUCCCAAGCAGCAGGCUCAAAAGCAUGAUCAGUG